ensembl:lncRNA
CCCCUUUCCUGCUGGGCUUGUGUGUGUGUGUGAGUGUGUCUGUGUGAGUGUGUCUGUGUGUCUGUGUGAGUGUGUCUGUGUGUGUGUGUGUGUGUCUGUGUGUGUGUCUGUGUGAGUGUCUGUGUGUGUGUGUGUGUCUGUGUGUGUGUCUGUGUGAGUGUCUGUGUGUCUGUGUGUGUGUCUGUGUGAGUGUCUGUGUGUGUGUGUGUAUGUGUGUGUGUUUGUGAGUGCGUGUCGUGCGCAGUUCCUGUGCGUAGGUAAACACACUUCAAUGGAACGCUCAUCACUCUGUGACACAACUCAUCCAGUGUUUAGCCUCAGAAAAGAAAAGCCAACCAAACCCUCACUGAGAGGUGACGCUGUGUAAGUGUGUGUGUGUGUGUGUGUGUGUGUGUUAAAGAGAGUUUGUGAGUGUGUAUAUGAGUGUGUGUAUAUGUGUGUGUGUAUGUGUGUGUGUAUAUGUGUGUGUGUGUGUGUGUUAAAGAGAGUUUGUGAGUGUGGAUAUGAGUGUGUAUAUAUGUGUGUGUGUGUGUGUGUGUGUGUGUGUGUGUGUGUGUGUGUGUGUUAAAGAGAGUUUGUGAGUGUGGAUAUGAGUGUGUAUAUAUGUGUGUGUGUGUGUGUGUGUGUGUGUGUGUGUGUGUGUGUGUGUGUGUUAAAGAGAGUUUGUGAGUGUGGAUAUGAGUGUGUGUAUAUGUGUGUGUGUGUGUGUGUGUUUUGUGUGUAUAUGUGUGUGUGUGUGUGUGUGUGUGUGUGUGUUAAAGAGAGUUUGUGAGUGUG